ensembl:misc_RNA Y_RNA Y RNA
AGUUGGUCCGAAGGCUGUGGGUUAUUGUUAUACAUGGUUAACAUUGUCUCCCCCCACACCCGUGCUUGACUAACUGAGUGUUUU